GCGGCGCAUCGAGCUGAGCGGUGGCGGCGCCGCAGCCGGGGUCGGAGCGCAGGAGCCGACGGGGCCCGACCGGGAUGGUGCAGCGGCGGCUCCGCGGCGCACACACGCGCUGAGCGGGCCCAAGCUGGGCCCCGCGCCCCCCGCGCCUCCCGCCGCCCCGAUCCCGGCCGGCAUGAUGUGCCUGGAAUGCGCCUCGGCGGCGGCGGGCGGCGCGGAGGAGGAGGAGGCGGACGCGGAGCGGCGGCGCCGGCGCCGGGGGGCGCAGCGAGGGGCUGGCGGUAGCGGUUGCUGCGGGGCGCGGGGCGCGGGCGGCGCUGGAGUCUCGGCCGCGGACGAUGAGGUGCAGACGCUGUCGGGCAGCGUAAGGCGGGCCCCGACCGGACCCCCCGGCACCCCUGGCACCCCCGGCUGCGCAGCUACUGCAAAGGGCCCCGGCGCGCAGCAGCCGAAACCGGCCAGCUUGGGCCGCGGGCGGGGGGCAGCCGCCGCUAUCCUCAGCUUGGGCAACGUGCUCAACUACCUGGACAGGUACACCGUGGCAGGCGUCCUUCUGGACAUCCAGCAGCACUUUGGGGUCAAGGACCGAGGCGCCGGCCUGCUGCAAUCAGUGUUCAUCUGUAGCUUCAUGGUGGCUGCCCCCAUCUUCGGCUACCUGGGCGACCGCUUCAACAGGAAGGUGAUUCUCAGCUGUGGCAUUUUCUUCUGGUCGGCCGUCACCUUCUCCAGCUCCUUCAUUCCCCAGCAGUACUUCUGGCUGUUGGUCCUGUCCCGGGGGCUGGUGGGCAUCGGUGAGGCCAGCUACUCCACCAUUGCCCCCACUAUCAUUGGCGACCUCUUCACCAAGAACACGCGUACGCUCAUGCUGUCCGUCUUCUACUUCGCCAUCCCACUGGGCAGUGGCCUGGGCUACAUCACUGGCUCCAGUGUGAAGCAGGCAGCCGGAGACUGGCACUGGGCAUUGCGGGUGUCCCCUGUCCUGGGCAUGAUCACAGGAACACUCAUCCUCAUCCUGGUCCCGGCCACUAAAAGGGGCCACGCCGACCAGCUCGGGGACCAGCUCAAGACCCGGACCUCAUGGCUCCGAGAUAUGAAGGCCCUGAUUCGAAACCGCAGCUACGUCUUCUCCUCCCUGGCCACGUCGGCUGUCUCCUUCGCCACAGGGGCCCUGGGCAUGUGGAUCCCGCUCUACCUGCACCGCGCCCAAGUUGUGCAGAAGACAGCGGAGACGUGCAACAGCCCGCCCUGUGGAGCCAAGGACAGCCUCAUCUUUGGGGCCAUCACCUGCUUUACGGGCUUUCUGGGUGUGGUCACGGGUGCAGGAGCCACACGCUGGUGCCGCCUGAAGACCCAGCGGGCCGACCCACUGGUGUGUGCUGUGGGCAUGCUGGGCUCUGCCAUCUUUAUCUGCCUGAUCUUCGUGGCUGCCAAGAGCAGCAUCGUAGGGGCCUAUAUCUGUAUCUUCGUCGGGGAGACGCUGCUGUUUUCUAACUGGGCCAUCACUGCAGACAUCCUCAUGUACGUGGUCAUCCCCACCCGGCGGGCCACUGCUGUGGCCUUGCAGAGCUUCACCUCCCACCUGCUGGGGGAUGCCGGGAGCCCCUACCUCAUUGGCUUUGUGAGUAACCCUGGGGUGGGGCUGGCCUGGAGAGGUUGGGGGGCUUCGGGAGGGCUCUGCCCUGACAUCCACCCCCAAAUCCUCACAGAUCUCAGACCUGAUCCGUCAGAGCACCAAGGACUCCCCGCUCUGGGAGUUCCUGAGCCUGGGCUACGCGCUCAUGCUCUGCCCCUUCGUCGUGGUCCUGGGUGGCAUGUUCUUCCUCGCCACCGCUCUCUUCUUCCUCAGCGACCGCGCCAAGGCUGAGCAGCAGGUGAACCAGCUGGUGAUGCCGCCCGCAUCUGUGAAAGUCUGAGGUGGUGCCAUUGGGACAAUGAAGAACUCACAUUCCCACCUCAUCCGGGAGGUGUCCUACAGCGUCCGGGACCGGCUGGGCUGCCCCAAAGCUUUGUGUGUGAUCCACGGCUGGGCAUCCCCCCUCUCUGGCCGGGGCCUGCUGAGUGGCCCUGGCAUCAAGAAGAGGCUGUGUCCUCAGUUACCCUGGAAGGAUGUGUGUGUUGGAGCCACGUGGUUGGACAGAUUCCCAGCCCUAGGUUUGGGCUGCAGGGCCCCUGGGGCCAAGAAAGAAGACAGCCCCAAGUGGGUGUCCGGGGAGAGCCUGGCCUGCCACCAGCUUAUGUGAUCUUGGGCAAGUCCCUGCCCUCCCUGGAACAAAGGGCCAGGGGGCUGGACUUUCCCACACAACUUGCUGGGCAAAGCAGGAUCUGCAGCUUUGAAGACUCGACAGACCCUGGACCUUACAGACAGCAGGUGGCCCAGGGCUCAGGGCGGCAGUCCCGGCUUUGAGGCUCACAUAAGGGCCUGGUGUGCGGGACCACUGCUUCUCAGCUGGGCCUCGGACCUCGAGGAUAUCGGACUCAACCUGGCAACUGAAGCUGGGCACCCAAGUGGCUGGGUACUCCCUGGCCUGGCUGGUCUCUCUGGAGGACACACUAUCUCAGGUUGGCUCCUAGCCUGGAGGUCCCAGAUGGGGACUGUUCUGACAAGCUGGCAUCACCAGGGGUGAAGGCCCUGGCUCAGCUGUACACCACCUGUGCCCCCAGGCUCGAGGGCUCUAGGAGGGACACACCAGCCCACCUCUGCAGGGCUCCUCUCCCUGCCACCACCCCCCAAGCCAGGAACCCACUCCCUCCCUGAGGCUGAGCCAAGCCUUUUCCAGGGGCAGGGCCCAGGAGACCAUUCCCAGAAUCCGUGGGGCAGUAGCCAGGGCUCCGGCUGCCGGAGGAAGCAGCUAUCCACAAAGCUUCCUGCCCCAGAGCUGAGGCCGAGGCCCCCGGGAGACGCCAGCCCCUACCCGCUGGUAUUCCACCAAAUGACCCUGGGGGCCAGGCCUUCGAUCACCCACGUCCCAUCCGUGCAUACACCAGGAUGCGGCUGCCAACUUCACACCAGCCCCAACCCGCUUUGGGGGAGCUUACCUCCUGCGUCACACACUCCCUGUGCAUCUGCUGCAAUCAAGGGGGUUCUGGUGCGGGGGGCCCUUGUGGCCAACAGGAGACCCCAAGAGCCGGCUUGGACAAUGCUCUUCUUGCCCCUUAGUUACUGGCUGGCUGUGGCUUCAGUGGUGUGUAAGCUAGUGGAACACCCACCCACCAAGCUCUGGGGUACCCUGGGGGUCUGACAAGAGGAUGGGGUGGGGGUGGUAUCCCCCAAAGACCAGCCUCCACCCCCACUCCAGCCUCAGCCUCAGUGGGGCCCCAGCGAUGUUUUCUUGUUGUACAAGAACCAGGUCCGAGUGUUGCCUCCUCUUCCUUCCGGAAGCCAAACUGCUCCUUUAUUUUUUAGGGCUGCUGAUUGUGAAUCUCAGAGUCUUAAGAGAGAAGCCAAAUAUAUUCCUCUUGUAAAUGAAGAAAUAAACCUAUUUAAAUCA